AAAUUGUAUGUCACAAACAAAAAAGAAUACAACAAAAAAGUGAGAGCGUCCGUCAGGAGAUCAAUGGAAAUGGAAGAGUGAAAACUUCUUCUUUUUCUUUCUUUUUUUCUUUCUUUCUCCCACUUUCCUCUCCUCCUUUAAUAUUAAAUAAACCCUGAAGUUCAAUUAGGUUGUUAAUUUGUGAGUAAAAGAAAAUCAGACAGAAAAGA
rnacentral:ribozyme from 13 species